UUACGGCCAUAUCUCGUUGAAAUACCAGUUCCCGUAUGAUCACCUAAGUUACGCAAUGUCGUGCUUGAUUAAUACGUAGAUGGGUGAUCGCUUGGGAAUCCAAAGUUCUGUA